AAUGAACGCUGGCGGCAUGCCUUACACAUGCAAGUCGAACGGCAGCAUGACCUAGCUUGCUAGGUUGAUGGCGAGUGGCGAACGGGUGAGUAAUGCAUCGGAACGUGCCUUUUAGUGGGGGAUAACGUAGCGAAAGUUACGCUAAUACCGCAUAUUCUCUGAGGAGGAAAGCAGGGGGCCUUCGGGCCUUGCGCUAGAAGAGCGGCCGAUGUCGGAUUAGCUAGUUGGUGAGGUAAAGGCUCACCAAGGCAACGAUCCGUAGCGGGUCUGAGGGGAUGAUCCGCCACACUGGGACUGAGACACGGCCCAGACUCCUACGGGAGGCAGCAGUGGGGAAUUUUGGACAAUGGGCGCAAGCCUGAUCCAGCCAUGCCGCGUGAGUGAAGAAGGCCUUCGGGUUGUAAAGCUCUUUCGGCUGGGAAGAAAUCGCACUCUCUAAUACAGGGUGUGGAUGACGGUACCAGCAUAAGAAGCACCGGCUAACUACGUG
rnacentral:rRNA from 1 species